GGGAGAGCUAGGCUGGCGCGCUAGUCCUGCGCUGUCACCAUGAAUGGACUUUACAUGGAGCCGAAGCCCAAGGAAGGGCCACUUUGGUUUUCGUGGUCCCCAUUGCCUUUGCUGACGGUUUGUCCUCUGGGAUGAACUUGUGAGGAACCAGGUCAGAUCCGGAAGGAAGCAGCCUUAACUUUCAAUCUUCAUGUUCAGAGGGGUGCAAUCCCGAGAAGCUUUGGGGGUUAUACCAUGAAGGCCAGAACAGUUCGACUGCGGGCGUGCCCC
rnacentral:SRP_RNA from 1 species